AGUGAACGCUGGCGGUAGGCCUAACACAUGCAAGUCGGACGGCAGCACAGUAAGAGCUUGCUCUUACGGGUGGCGAGUGGCGGACGGGUGAGGAAUACAUCGGAAUCUACUUUUUCGUGGGGGAUAACGUAGGGAAACUUACGCUAAUACCGCAUACGACCUACGGGUGAAAGCAGGGGAUCUUCGGACCUUGCGCGAUUGAAUGAGCCGAUGUCGGAUUAGCUAGUUGGCGGGGUAAAGGCCCACCAAGGCGACGAUCCGUAGCUGGUCUGAGAGGAUGAUCAGCCACACUGGAACUGAGACACGGUCCAGACUCCUACGGGAGGCAGCAGUGGGGAAUAUUGGACAAUGGGCGCAAGCCUGAUACAGCCAUACCGCGUGGGUGAAGAAGGCCUUCGGGUUGUAAAGCCCUUUUGUUGGGAAAGAAAAGCAGCAGGUUAAUACCCCGCUGUUCUGACGGUACCCAAAGAAUAAGCACCGGCUAACUUCGUG
rnacentral:rRNA from 1 species